rnacentral:rRNA from 1 species
AUUGAACGCUCGCGGCAUGCCUAACACAUGCAAGUCGAACGAGUGGCGGACGGGUGAGUAAUGUCUGGGACACUGCCUGAUGGAGGGGGAUAACUACUGGAAACGGUAGCUAAUAACGCAUACCAUCGGAUGUGCACAGAUGGGAUUAGGUAAUAGUUGGGGUAAAGGCGCACCUAGGCGACGAUCCAUAGCUGGUUUGGUAAGGUAACACUCCCCCCUGGAUCUGAGACACGGUCCAUACUCCUCCCUUCUUCCUCCUUCUCUCCUAUUUCACUCUUUUCGCAAGCCUGAUCCAGCCAUGCCGCGUGUAUGAAUAUCACCUUCCGUUUUUUAUGUACUUUCAGCGGGGAGGCGUUACCCGCAGAAGAAGCACCGGCUAACUCCGUGCCAGCAGCCGCGGUAAUAC